CACGAGCGCAACCCCUAUUGUUAGUUGCCAUCAUUCAGUUGGGCACUCUAGCGAGACUGCCGGUAAUAAACCGGAGGAAGGUGGGGAUGACGUCAAAUCAUCAUGCCCCUUAUGACCUGGGCUACACACGUGCUACAAUGGUUGGUACAACGAGUUGCGAGUCGGUGACGGCGAGCUAAUCUCUUAAAGCCAAUCUCAGUUCGGAUUGUAGGCUGCAACUCGCCUACAUGAAGUCGGAAUCGCUAGUAAUCGCGGAUCAGCACGCCGCGGUGAAUACGUUCCCGGGCCUU
rnacentral:rRNA from 1 species